rnacentral:lncRNA from 1 species
UAUGAAGAAUCAAAUCAUCAAAAAUAAAAUAAUUCCUUUGCACUAUUUUUUUUUUCCAAAAGCUAAGCUUAAAGCGUCAACCAAUGUCUGAUUAUUGAAUAAUUUUUUUGAUUAAUUAGCUAAGAACAAGAUUAAGUGGGGGCAUCCUUCAUUAGCUCUUCCCCACAUCAACUUAUUUAAAUCCCCAAAAUCUAGUGUCUGUUCCAGCUCUUUCUCCAGAUUUUUUUUCUCUCUCCAUUUUUUUUUUACCUAUAUCACUCUUCUUCGGCUUCCCUAGCUUCUUGAGGUAUAAUUUUCUUUGUAAACGGAUCCGAUUUUUUUUUUCUAAUUUUCUCAUUUUUAUUUGGUUAUUUUCUUGAUUCAGUUAAAAAAUUCGUAAUCAGAUCGUUAGGUUAUAUAUUUUGAUUUGACGUUCAUUUUAUGUUGUAUUGUUUUGCGUUUGCAUUUUCUGCUUUGAACGUGAAUGGUGAUUCGUUUUCCGUUAAGUAAUUUGUUUGUUUGACGGUUUUGAGAACUGUUAAUUCGUUUUGAUUCGGAAUUUGUCACUGAUGGCGGUGAAAAGCUUUGUUUUCGAGGUUUUUUGCGUGAAAUCCGUUUGGUUACAGAGAAAGUUAUUGUAAAAAAAAGCCAUCCGAGAAACAUUUUUCUUGUUCAAAACAUUUCUAUAAUAAACCGUUUUGACUUCUUCUUGUCAAGCUUUCUCGGCAACUUAGUUGAGAAAUGGAGUGUUUCACGCCCACUCAAUUGCUAGCAUUUUCUUUCUCUUUAUUACAACAUUUAAAAAAAUUAUUGCUAAAGGAGUUUUGUCAUUUUGGACUUUUUUUCAGGUGACAAUAAGAGGAGAGAAAGUUUAAGAUUCAAAGCAAAUUAGCUUUUGUUUCCAGGUGGUUCUUAUUAAUCUUCUUAACAUUUUCAUGUACGCUAUCUUUUUUAAUUAUUUUAUAUCCUGCCGUUGUCUGAAUAGUGUUUUAGCACUGUUCAUAUUUCUUUUUUUGUUUUGGUUGGGUCACUACAAAGCAUUAUAUGAUUACAUCAGCUUAGUUUCAAUUUAAAAAUUUGUAUUACUGACCCUCAAAAAAAAAUUGCAUUAGUGAAUGAGCUUGAGCCCUUUUAUACAUUGAGAUGCGAAAUAUAUGUCAUAGCAUACACGUUUUCAAACAGUUCUGAUCAUUUUUUGCAAGUUGGCGUUUCAUAUAAUUUCGUUAUGCUUUCACUGCUGUAGAAUCAUCAUUAUUUGGGUUUAUUAGGUAUGCAUAGUGUUAGUCCGUAGCUCUUUCAGCACAACAAUUAUGGAAAAGCACAUAAAAUAUUGUGGUAAUGUCUGUCUUUAUUGUCAUGCGAGAUGUUUCUAUACAUAUAGUUGAUGGUCAUUAAAUACUUGGUUAAAAAUUUGAACAUUUCUUAGAGAGUUUAUGAUGAAUAAAUGGUUUGUAUGCAUGAGUUUCAUGUGGAGAUUUGCUACAUGGCUACAUAUAUCUAGCGUUCAGUUCCUUUUUGCUAGCUAAAGUACAAUUCAAUGAAACUAAUCAUUUUGCUUUUCGUUGAAGUUCUGUUGAAGUAGAAGGUAGGUGAUACGAGUCACAAAAGCCCAAAUUCUUGAAGGCGAGGCCCAAUAAGCAAAUUCCCAGCCCAAUCAAGAAAUCCAUCCAUACUUAGUUGAAAAUCAGGCCAAAUUGUCAAAGUGGCCCAAGUUGUAAAGUUUUAUUUUUAUUUUUAUUUAUUUAUUUAUUUAUUUACUUAGUUUAAAUUUUUAUGUCAAUAUUCAGUCCAAGAGUCUCAGAUAAAAUGACCUUUGACCGAAUUUCCAUAUUAAAAUAAUUAGGAGUUUUUUUUUAUUUUAGUUUUCUAAUUAGAUUAGGACUAGUUAUAAGGCCUAUUUAAAGGCAUGACUGUCCACCUUGUUAAACACUUAUCAUUAUUAUUAAAAUUUCAGAUUUGUUGAGAGCAGAAUUUUCUUUGAGUUUUCUCCAAGAUUUCUCUCUUGAGUUUUCUUUAGAAGUUGUUUUAACAAUCUUGUGAUUGUGGGAGCCAUCUUCAACCUUCUUCUUGCCAUUGAUAUUCUUUGGAGGGGAGAUUAGAGCCGUUUGAAGGGAGUUGUGAGAUCUUUCGAGAUUUCAAGGCUUCUUAGGACUUAUCUUUUAAUUUCUUACUGUCAAUUCUUUCUUUAUUUCUACUUGUGCUGAAUCAUUAUCUAAUCUAUUUUCUGUUCUUAUUGUGUUUUCAGCCUUUUUCUAUCUUAAGGAAUCAGCCCAAAAAUCCCCAAUUUCUAGGGUUUUUCCAUACUCUUUUUUGGGUGAAAUUAGAUUGUCGAAAUUUGGGGAAAACUAUCUUGGUGUUCAAUUGGGCAGAAUCACAAUCUCCUUGAGGGUUUCAAGAACCCUAACACUUAUUUCUAUUCUCAAUUUGAUUCUUUGCUGAUUUGGGGAUUUUAUUUUAGAUCUGAAAAUUCAAAAAUCUAAUCUUUUAAUUUUCUGUUUCGUUUCAGAUCUAAUUGUUUAGGGUUUUCGUAGGAGUUUCUCGUGACUUGGCAACUCGAUCUUGGUCCGCGCGCAACCCCGUAUCAUUUGGUAUCAGAUUUUGGGCGUUUUGGGUGUUCUUGGUUGAUUUCUAAACUGAUCUCUAUUUUUUAAAUUACAAACAGCAGUUUUACCCAGAAAAAUUUUCGAAAAAAAUUCAUUUGAGUGGGUAAACGUUUUCUGAUUGAUCUGAAAUUUUACAUACAUAUUUUUGGCACUGUUAUUGAAUAUACAAAAAUAUUUCCCGCAAAAAAAAUAAGUCGAAAAAGUCAAAAAAUUGAAAAAAGACGAAAUCUAAUAAAAAAUUAAAAAAAUAUUCAGCGGGUUGAAUUUGGUGCCCAAAUUUUCCAGAUCAAAAAUUAAAUAUAUAAGGACACUCUAGAUUUAAUUUCGUGAUUUUUGGAGAUCGGGAACACCUCGAACGAAGUUGUCAAAUUACUCCGCAGUUUUUCGGGUUUUCUGUUUUCAGCAAUUUUUAUUGAUUCUUAGCUGUAGGUUUUCAUUUGUUUACCUUUAUUCUUCCUUUACGUUAUCUAACACCUUCUUGUUUCUUGUGUUAGUAGGAUUUAAACGUAUGCACAACUUCUUCCUCGGUGCAACACGAAUCAAUUGGUGUCUCGUCAGUUUUUGGCAUCCUAGUGCAAAUUAGGAUUCUUUGGUAGUUUGGUUCACACUCUCUAAUUGGUUGAUAUAAACUCUGAUAAAGAACUCACAAGAUUGAAUUCGACCUCAUUGAGAAUUUGAAUUUUCUUUUUGAGUGAUUAAUGGUGAGGUUUGCUAACUUUUAUUUUUGAGUGUUGAGUGUUUAUUUUUUACAGGUUUUGAAGAUGUCUAAAGGUGAUAAUAAUGAUGCACUUAUGAAAGUCCAACAACAGUUAGAUGGACAUACUGCUGCAAUCACACAAAUAAAUGCUACACUUCAAGCAUUGAAUACUACUUUGAAUGAGGUACGAGUGAAUCAAAAACAUCAAUAUCGAGAUCCAAUUAAGGAAGAUAGGGAUAACCAACCCCAAAGGCGCGGCCCUCGACGUGUCACUAGAAUGGAUGAUGAUUUUCAUGAUCGUAGACAAUCAUCUUUGGCAAAACCAAGGAGCGAGCAGCAACGAGAACAUCUCUUUCAUACUCGCUGCCAUGUACAAGGUAAGCUUUGUAGAGUUAUUAUUGAUGGUGAAAGUUGCUCGAACAUAGCCAGCACGACGAUGGUGGAAAAGCUUUGCUUAACCACUACCAAGCAUCCACAACCUUAUCAACUACAAGGGCUUAGCAACGAAGGCCAAUUUAGGGUCACUCAACAAGUGCGCAUUGCCUUUUCUAUCGGUAAGUAUCAAGACGAAGUUGUGUGCGACGUAAUGCCUAUUCAAGCCUGCCAUUUGUUGCUAGGAGAACCAUGGCAACUGGAUCGAAAAGUCACUCACGAUGGUCGUACCAAUAGGUAUUCUUUCAAGCAUCAAGGAAAGAAACUUACCUUAGUGCCGCUCACUCCGGAACAAGUCCAUGAGGACCAAAUCAAACUAAGAAAUUCUGUUAAAACAAGUGAGGAAAAAGAAAAAGAGAAUGAAAAAGAGCAAAAAGAGAUUGAGAGUGAAAAGGAAUGUGAAACAGAAAAGAAAAUUGAAAAAGAAGUUGAAGAAAGAAGAGAAAAUGAGUUAGAAAAAGAAACAAAAGAAAAAGACGAGGAAAGGCUAGUGAGGAAUGUUUCCACUAACCAAGAUAUGAAUUUUUCUUGUGUUGCUACUUUUCAGGUUCCCGAAAGAUCGAAAGAUAACUUUCAACUUCAAUACCUCUCAAAUGAAAGACGCUUUCAUACGAUCAACUUAAGCAAAGAUGAAAUCACACUACAUGAUCCCGAAGGUAAGCGAGGUAAGGAAAUUUUAGAAACCGAGUCCAUUGCAGAUUUGAAAAUUAUUGAUAAAACUUUUGGUGACUUAGUUCUUAAAAUAUCCCCUCAUUUUGAUCCGAUUAAUUGUUACUCUUCGAUUGUGGUUGAUAAAGUCAUUACGAAAAGAAGCGUGAUUUGUUAUUCUCUUGAUUUACCUUGUGUAAAAUCCUCGAAUUUGUCCAAAUCUGUUUUCGAGAAUAAGGUAACGAAAUUUUCCAAAUUUGUUUUCAAUUUAUAUUCGUGCCUUAAACAGUUUAUGUGGUUGUACAUGAAGUUUGAGUUCCAUUUGACAAAGGUUAACUCAACAACGGAGAUUCGACUACACUAUGCCCCCGAUGAGCGAAAGUUUGUUUUAAAUGAAAAAGGUAAAAUCAACCCUUAUUCUUCUGCUUAUCGAGGUAAGAUGCUUGAAACCUUUGAAACACUUUUGUACUCCUUGGAUAGUGAUAAAGAUCGUGUUGAUGAACACUUAGAUCGAAACGUGCUUGACUGUCCUAUUUUAUUUAUUGAUGAUCUAUCUGUUUUGAUGAUUGAUAAAAAGAUUCUUGUUUUUGAUAAUGCAUGUGUGAGUGAAUCUAUAGACCGUCGAUUAAUGCAUGGUAUGAUUAUGCAACUCUGUGAACCAUGUGAAUCUUUUCAAAUACCUACUUGUGACGAUUAUGUUUACCAUUUGAUUUAUUACUCGCAAUUUAUUCAUGGUUUGUGGGAACAAUGUGAGACGACUGAAUGCCUUAAAACAUGUCCAUCUUUGUUUCAAAUAUUUGACGAGGCAGUGGUGAGUAAAUUAGAUUGUUUGCAUGGUAAUCUGAAUCUGUCCAUUCACAUACGUUAUACCUGUUCUGUUAUGCUUAUGAUUGGACUACAAGCUUGUUUCCGUUGCUAUUUACUAUCUCAUGGCUAUUCUUUUCAGUGGACUCAAUUGCCAUUAGUCCCGUUCGAUAGAGGAAAGUCGAGUUCAUUUGAUUUUUCAGAUUCGAGGACGAAUCUUUUUGAGGAAGGGGGGAAUGAUACGAGUCACAAAAGCCCAAAUUCUUGAAGGCGAGGCCCAAUAAGCAAAUUCCCAGCCCAAUCAAGAAAUCCAUCCAUACUUAGUUGAAAAUCAGGCCAAAUUGUCAAAGUGGCCCAAGUUGUAAAGUUUUAUUUUUAUUUUUAUUUAUUUAUUUAUUUAUUUACUUAGUUUAAAUUUUUAUGUCAAUAUUCAGUCCAAGAGUCUCAGAUAAAAUGACCUUUGACCGAAUUUCCAUAUUAAAAUAAUUAGGAGUUUUUUUUUAUUUUAGUUUUCUAAUUAGAUUAGGACUAGUUAUAAGGCCUAUUUAAAGGCAUGACUGUCCACCUUGUUAAACACUUAUCAUUAUUAUUAAAAUUUCAGAUUUGUUGAGAGCAGAAUUUUCUUUGAGUUUUCUCCAAGAUUUCUCUCUUGAGUUUUCUUUAGAAGUUGUUUUAACAAUCUUGUGAUUGUGGGAGCCAUCUUCAACCUUCUUCUUGCCAUUGAUAUUCUUUGGAGGGGAGAUUAGAGCCGUUUGAAGGGAGUUGUGAGAUCUUUCGAGAUUUCAAGGCUUCUUAGGACUUAUCUUUUAAUUUCUUACUGUCAAUUCUUUCUUUAUUUCUACUUGUGCUGAAUCAUUAUCUAAUCUAUUUUCUGUUCUUAUUGUGUUUUCAGCCUUUUUCUAUCUUAAGGAAUCAGCCCAAAAAUCCCCAAUUUCUAGGGUUUUUCCAUACUCUUUUUUGGGUGAAAUUAGAUUGUCGAAAUUUGGGGAAAACUAUCUUGGUGUUCAAUUGGGCAGAAUCACAAUCUCCUUGAGGGUUUCAAGAACCCUAACACUUAUUUCUAUUCUCAAUUUGAUUCUUUGCUGAUUUGGGGAUUUUAUUUUAGAUCUGAAAAUUCAAAAAUCUAAUCUUUUAAUUUUCUGUUUCGUUUCAGAUCUAAUUGUUUAGGGUUUUCGUAGGAGUUUCUCGUGACUUGGCAACUCGAUCUUGGUCCGCGCGCAACCCCGUAUCAGUAGGAGUUAAAUUGAGUGCCGAAUGACAUUUUCUUUGAGCAAGUUUUGAGUUUUUUUGGUGUUUCUUUUCUGUAUUAAUUGCUGCUUAUCGCUUUUGUUGUCCUCACUUCAUUGGAGCAAGUUUUGGGUUUGUUGUCCUUGCCUUAUAGCAGUUCUUAGUUUUGUUUUAUUGCUAUUAGGUUCUGGUUAAGUAACUCAAAACUCUAUGUGAAACAUCACUUUUGAGAACUUAUCAUUUGCUAAGACUGCUAAACCUGCUGGCUCUAUUAUGGUAGAGGCAUGAUCUUAUUGGAUAGGAGAUCUUUGGAAUAUGUAAAAGAAUAGGAUAAUUCUAGAGUGUAGAGCCGGAGGGCAUGUUUCUAAGGUUUUUUUCUCUUCAACUUGCAAGUUCGAUCCUUUCCCCCAGGUUUUGUUUUGUUCUUUUAGUAACUUUGCCUGUACUUUGACUACUUUUGUUGUUGGCUAUUAUAAAUUUUUGGAGAUUUGCUUGGUUUAUGCCAAGCUUUAGUGGUUUAAGAUAUUAAUAUUAUUUAAAGUAAUACACCAUUUUAGAUAUAUUUCUCCAUUUCAUAUUUUAGAAGUUCAUACUAAUCUGUUUUAAAAAUGUUUGUAUAAUUUAUCCCAAUAUAAAAAUUAAUAAUACAUUUUUGUAAAACAAUUUUAAACCUUUAAAUUUUUUGCUAUGUUAUGAACAUGAGAGCUGAGUCACGAGACCAUUGAUGGGUAAGUCGAAGUCAAUUGUCUUCCCUUUAUCUGUAUUCUUGUAAUGAUCUAUUGUGAUUGAUAGUUCAGCCAAUCAAAGGGAGACCAAAACCUUAAGAUUCAAUAGAGAGAGACCCAGACACCUUAGGGUUUUUUUGAUAGAAAUUCUGCUUAUUAUUCCAUACGCCUCUUCAGAUAAGGACCAAUCUUAUUACAUACAUAGGAAAACCUAUUCUAAAAAGGAAAUUAAUUAAUUGAAAUAAAUUCACAAUCAAGAAACCUAAGGGAACACAUAAAAUUGCAACCCAAGACUUGAUUAGAGAAGCGAAAUUAUGGCCUUUCCUAACAUAGGUUCAACCCAUAACAUUACCCCCUCUUGCCAUGUGAGCUUAUCCUUAAGUUUGAAGUCAAGAUAACUUGACAAUAUAAAUCAACCUAGUUCAGUCUCAAUUUUAGUUUUUGGUGCUUCAUGAGUCAAAUAAGCUACUUUCAACCAAAAGGGGUAGGAAAAUUUACUGAAUUAGCUUUAAUAGUUCCCCCUAAUAUAUUGCUGCCAUCAUUACCUUGCCAAGUUCCUCUAUGGUUAUUUCUGACAUGUAGUAUUUGCUGCUUCUAUUCAAAGGCUUUAGUGAGGCUUGUAGUUAUGGCUAAAUUAGGGGGCUCGUGCAUUUGAACAUCCAAGCGAAUGGAAUCAUUUGGUCCAGCCAUGAAAAACCCAUCAUGUCAGUUUACUUGAAUGUAUUGACUAGCUCUUGCUAAUUUUUGUUGAUAUUGUUGCUGAUAAAGCUCUAAAGUUCCUGUCUAUUUCAAACUAACCAGAUCUCCCAAGGAGUUGCCGCCCAUCAGAGCACCAAAACUAAAGGAGCCAUAAUUAUAGGAUUCUUACUGGUUCAUCACAUGUCCCUCCAAUUUGAUUUAAUAAUACCAAAGUGGUGCCUCACCCAGAAUGUGGAAGGCUGCCAAACUUACCUUGUUUGCCUCAUUGGCGUGUUGGUUUUGAAAAAUUAUUCACAUCAAUGUAGCCAAAUCAAAGGAUCCUUUGAUCCAUCAAAAGUUUGAAAAUCUACUUUUGUGUACUUGGGAAUAAUUCCAAUUGAUGGAACCCUCUGCUCCCCAAGUGGUGGUGGCGCCAUGCCUCCUACAGUAGUUGGUGGGAAAUGCAUCGGUCUAGUUGGAUUGUUUUACUGCCUACAUCACCAUCCCUAGUUUUUUUGCCCAAGUAAAAAAUUAGGGUUUUGAGUUGUUCCUAGAUAUGUCGAGUUAUUUGUUGAAGGUAGAUGUUUAUACGAGUUUUUAGAUUGAUGAACUUAGCCUCCACCACAGGUUUCAAAACAAUUCUCUCUUAUAACAAUGCUCAUACAUCAUUGCCAAUGUGAUAUGCUUUGAUGCCAAAUUGUUAUGGACAUGAGAAUAGGAUUUGAGUCAUAGGGCGAUUAAUAGGGAAGUUGAAGUCAAUUGUGUUAUUAUUGUGAUUGACAUUUCAGCUCAUCAAAGGAACACAGAAACCUUAGGACCGGUAAAGAGAGACUUGAAUCUCUUUAGUUUUAUUCAUAGAAAUUUUGUUUAGGGUUUAUUAUUCUAUACAUCCCUUUAAACGAGGACCAGUUUUAUUACAUAAAUAAGAAAUUUAUUCUAAGAAGAAAUAAAUAAAUUGAUAUAAAAUCACAAUCAAGAAACUUAGGAAAGAAUUAAAAUUGCAACCUAGUCCUUAAUUAGAGAAUCAAAAUUUAUGCCCUUCCUAACAUAGGUUUGGCCCAUAACAUGCUAAUUAUAUUUUGUAUUACUAGUACUUUAAACUAUUUAAUUCUGUCAUGUAACUGAUAGUUUUUCCCAGCCUCUUUUUCACACAAUAAAGCUCAAUCAAUAUGUCUUUGCAUGUAUGUUUGUAUCUAUCAUUUUGGUUCCAAACUUUAACUAGUUAAUGCUGGUUAGAUUAGGCUUCCUUUGGUGUGUGGCUAAUAGCUUUUACUUGGAUAGUUUGCACGCUAUGCCUUGUUUAGCAUUGCUUCUCAAACCAAUCUUUCAAGCCAAACGAACUUUUUGAGUCAUUAAUAAUGCUAAAUAGUCAGCUUUUCAAACCUCACCAAAAAGUUGAAAAUUAUAGCUUUUGGCUUUUCGAAAGCUAGUUUGGGUGCCAAAAUAUAAUUUUGCAGGUUUACAAUAUUCAUUGCCUAAAAAGUAUUUAAAAUUUAUAUUUUAUAUAUUAUACUUACAAUGAAUUAUUAUAAAUUAUUUUUGUUAUACUUUCUAUUAUGAGCUAAGUUGAAUAUUUGUUCAUACCAAAAUAAUUUUAACAUGACAUUGUGGUAAUAAUAAUAAAGACAAGGGAAAGAAUGAUACUUUGCAUUUGAGUCAAUUAUUCAUUACUUAUGAAAUUUUUAUUGAUUUAUAAGAGUUAUGCUUAUAUGUUAUAUGGUUUAUACAUUAGAAAAUUUAUUAACAAUUAAUAUUAAUUGCUUAAAUGUAUUAAUUACUUAAAUGUAUUAAUUAUUGAUAUUUCAUACAUCAUAAUAUUAACAAUUUUGAAUACCAUUUAAAUUAACUUAUUUUUUACUUUACAACAUCAUGUCUAAAAUGAAUAUUUUUACUUUUUACUUCUUUAUAGCAAUGCCGAACAUUUGAAAUCGUGUAUCACACUUUUCAAAAGCUAAGUCAUUAUUCAUAUGUGGAAUCAAAAUCUUGAAAUCAUUUAACCCUCCCCAAUCAAGAAAUAGAAGUCAUGGGUCAUUGAUAUUAUUGCUUGUUCUAAAAUUCCAAGCAAAAAUCUCAAAAUGUACUCCUUAUUUGAUUGAGGAAAAAAUAUAAGGAAAAUAACAAUUUUGUGGGGUAGAGAUGAACACUACGAUAAUGAGAUUGAAAUGAUCUAAGUAAUUCAUCAUAAGAAGUGUUCUUGGUGACAAAAUAUAAUAAAUGCUUUAAAAAUGUAAGUGACUAAUUUACAACUUCAAAUCAUUUAAUCUAUAAAAGAUAUAAAUAUCAAGCUGUUAAGUUUCAACAUGCACGACCUAUGCUGAAUUUUCCUCUUCAGGCCCUUUGGUUAGUCCUACCUCAAAUAGAGCCAAAACACAUUUAAUGUCAAUAUGUUGGAAAACUUACCUUACUGCUUUAAGAGUUCAGUCCUAAUUCAUGUUUUCAGGUGCAUUGAGCCUUUGUGAGAGGGUGAUGUGCAUAUUAUUAAUGUCUGUUUUUUUUUAUGUGCAUAUUAUUAAUGUCUGUUUUUCUUUCUUUUGUUAAUUAAUGUAAUGAUAUGAGUUCAUUUCUCUGUUUUUUCUCCUUUUAGCUUAUUUCUUGUUUGCUUUCUUCCUUUUCCUUUAUUAUUGUGCUUGAUUAUGUUUCUUGAUGAAUAACUAGGCUUUGGUUGCAUGAAGACUUAAUGUUCCAAAUGCUAUUUUGAGGUGUAUGUUAGAUAUGUCCAAUAUGCAUCUAAGUUCUAGUUUGCUGUUGUUAUACUUGCAUUUUUACAAUUCAAAGUCAGGUUAUUUUGAUAGUCAAUCAUUGUUCUAUGGCAUUUCUUUCCUACAUGUUACAUCCCUCCUUUUCCGUUGGAUCAACAUUUGAAUAUAACUAAGCUUAAUUGCAAGGCACCUGUCUAAGUUCUAUUUUGCUCUUAUUAUAUUUGCAUUUAUUUUACAAUUGGAAGUCAGGUUAUUUUGAUGGUCCAUAAUUGUUUUAUAGUGUUUCUUCUCAACAUGUUGCAACCCUCCUCUUUUUUCCGGGCUUGGGACCGGCUGUAAUUGCAGCUAUAAGCAUCUUGUGCUACCACAGGCAGAGUUAUUGCAACAUAUGCAUAUAGUUUCUUGUUAAAUACACUGUUUCCUUGCUCUGUGAGCUAUAUUUUAUGACAUUUGGGUUGUGAACCUUCUUGGGAUGCUUGCAUGCUGUCCAAUUUAUUGUAGUGUCCUGAGACUUUCUGAAAGUGAAUGUAGCCUGAAGUUAAGUUACUUUUACGGCCCAAAGUCUCAAUUGUAACUGUAUAUACUGGUUAUGUUAAUCCAAGCUCUUUUUUUUUUUUUUUUUUAUUGGGGGGGGGGGAGUGACUGUCCCAGGUCUUAAGCCAUGUAGGUUAUAUUUGUGCAUCUUCUAGUUAGGCAGUCAACUAGAAACACGAAUUGUAACUGCAUGUGCUGGUUAUGUCAGUCAAAGCUAUUCUCGGGGGUGGGUGGACUGUCCUAGGUCUUAAAGCCAUGUAGGCUAUACUUGUGAAUUUUCUAUUGAGCAGUAAACUAGAAACACGAUCCGAUGGUUUUAACAUUUUGAAAUUGUACUGCCAUCAUAUGUAUAUGCUAUGUUUAAGUCUCUCAAUAUUGGUUUGUAUUAACUAAUCGUGUUAUAUAUUAAAUACCAAAGAAACUCGUUUUUACCUUCUGUUCAUAUAGUAUUGUAAUGUAUUAUAAGGCGGCUAUUUUCUUUAGUUACCUUGAACUGGUAUUCUAAAACUUUUAUAUUAUUAUUCUUUUGGUAUUGCAGGUCAUGUUAUCAGCUUUCUGUCUACAAUGUAAUGAAUGAGAAAACGUAGGACUCUAUAAGAAGGUAAACCUAAUAAAAAAAAAUGAAUUACAUAAGAAGGUAUAAAUAUAAUUGAAAAUUGAGUUGUAGUAAAACUUGAAUGAAUUUACUCUUUUAAGGAUCUUGUUGGUGAUGCUUCCAUAUUUCGAAUUUUUUUGUAGCUUCACCAAUCUAAAUAUUAACAUUUUUCUGAACCACCGUGUUGCUGUCAUAGAAGUUUCGAAAGAUGAAGCUUUUUCAUUUCAAAUUAACAAAAACAAGUGUGUAAUUACGAUAUUCAUUUCAGUCAUCUUUGAAACUUCAAAAAAGUUAAUGCUGGUUUCUCCUUCUUAUAUAUAUAUAUUUAUUUAUUAGCUUAAAUUAUCUUUACAUAACUAGAUGGUUUUCUUGAUCAUCACACACAUGCUAAAGUUCAUUUGUUUAAACAUUUCAAACCAAUGUUUGCUGAAUGAUUGGUGGUUUUAACAUACCACAUCUUACUAUGAGAAGCAUAACUUUGGAACCAUGAGAUAUUUGUUGAUAGAAGUUGAGUGACAUCCAAUCCCAUUUCUGUACAUCUGCUUUUGCUACUGCAAUUGCAGUCUGCUGCAGUUACCAUGAAAAAAAGGUGUACAUCAAAUUGGGGCAAAGAAAUCUGCAUUAAAUCAAAAUCUAACAUAUAGAGUGGGAUGUACCCCAAGUUUGUAGCUCUUGUUGGUGUUUCAUAGCUUUGUUGCUGUGGCUGGCACAGCUGGAGACAAACUGGAACUUGUGAAUCCUCUCCAAUGCCUAAACCAUUUGUAAGAAGGGAGUCUUUGUUUGCACCAUCGACAUCCCUUGUUCCAUAAACCUGGAUGUGUUAAACUUUGAUUUUGAGGUUGGUUUUAGAAAUUCUUAUAACAGGCAAAGGUUUAAUGGUUGAAUCUUUUUAAUGUUUCUAGUAUAUUGGGAUUGUUAUGAUCCAUUAAUACCUUCUUAUAUAAUUCAUUGUUUUCUUGACGAAUUAGGUUUACCUUCUUAUAGAGUUCCACAUUUUCUUGAUGAAUUAUGUUCCCCUGCAACGAGACACUGCAAUUUAGCCACUUAUGCUGAGACAGUAUGGUAGUAAGGAGCUGAAGUUAUUGUGUCAGGAUUUACCUUUCUGUUCAAUUCUUGAAUUUCAUUCAUUAAAAUUUGAUCCUACAGCAGUGGAAUAAAUGUUACUAAAUGGGGUUGCUUUAUUUUGCAUGCUGUUUUGAACUUAAAAUCUGAGCAUGACUUGGAAAUAAAAGUUUCAAACCUUCUUCAUACGAACACCGCGAAGGCUCAUUUCCAAUUGGCUCUCCAAAUUCUGUAACUCUUUUACACCCAAUCCAGAAAGUUCUUCACCCAUCAUUUGCCUGUUUUGGUGUGCAGAAGCAUAAUUUCAGUCUAUAAAUUUUCAUCUUAGACAUUAUAAAAGUCUUUUGUAGGCAUGUACAUGAGAUGCAAUGGACUUUACAUUCUCAUUCUACUCUUGGGUCCAUUCAAUGCUUCAGGGUUAGAUAUGAAAUCCUUUUAUAGGAAAGAAAAUUAUGGCUGGGACUGCUAGUCUCUGUGUGUUCAUUUUUGUUGAAGGAUGAAUGAUUCAUUCAGUCUAAUCUUUAGAUAUAUAUGAAUCAUGCCAUAAAGGAUAGAACAUUCUAAGCAUAGUUGCAUCAUAAAAGGGUGGAAUAAGUAGUUCUAAAAUCCAUAGGGAAAGCUGUUAUUUGGUUGAAAAGUAUGAAGCUGACUGUGUUGAACUGAGACAUAUGGGCGUAAGUGUUGUGUUUGGAAGAAUGCCUAAUGUAAAAAGAGUUAUUGAUUCUGCAUUUUUGGUUCAUUGUAUUUUUUUCAUUAAUGUUUAACAUGAUGCAUUUGUAUCGCCAAAAAAUUGGUUUACCUGUGAUUUUCUUGCAGGUUUUGCAAUUUCUGUCUCAGAAUUGCUGCCUCCCUCUGCCAGAACUGAAAAAUAUGGUUCAAUAUAUUUAGAUAACUUUGUUACUGGUAUAUGACAAUAACCAUGCAUAUCAUAUAUGUGGACUCAACAAUGUUCUGAAUACUGCAAAUGUAGGCAAAUUUACACGCAAAAGGAAAUCAAACAUAUUUAGAUUCAAGGUUCUUGCUAGAGAAGAUUUUCAAUCUUGUAGAGAAGUUAGACUAUGAGUUAAAUUAAGCAAGAAUAUGUAUGUUUAACCAUUUUGAUGAUAAAUCACUUCUUGAGUUCUUCGUGUACUUGUCAAAGUUAUGCACAUUUUAGCUCUUGCUGUGGAAGCUUUAUUCUAUUUUUGUCUUUUGGAUUUAAAAAUUAGGAUCUUAGAGCUAACAACUAGUAAAAAGCUAGGUGAAAUUUAUAUGCACUUACAGAUGCUUUUUCUUCUAGAAAUUGCCAAGUACAAACUUCAGGAUAUUGGAGGAUGCUUCUAGUUCUAUGUAUUUCACCAAUGGAAGCUCAAAGGAAUAAAACACAUCAGGAUGUGAAUUCCAAUGUAGAUAGAUAAUAUAUAAAUUUCUGGAUUUGGUCUACAAGCAAGGAAAUGAAAGUUCUAUUUUGCCAUUGGACUAUGUUAUUGACUUUGGAGCUGUUGAUGAAUAUAAUGUGUUGGAGGAAGCUAUUGCUUAGCUUCUCAACAAAGUUGAGGCAGUCUUUGGAGAAAGAUAACUGUAAAAAUUUCCUCCUUUCUUUAGGGUAAUUAAAGGCUCUUAUUUUUGGCUUGCCUGCUCAAGAAACUUAGCAAGUAAAAUCCCAUGGGAAAUUUAUAUGCACUGAUAGUUUUCUGCUGGAUAUAGCGAAGUACAAACUUUCUUCAGCGAGUUAAAUGAUUCUUUAUCUAGAAUUAAUCAGAGAAUGCUUCUAGCUUCAAUAUAUAUCAUAGGUAAAAACUGUAAAAGCAUCAAAAAGCAUAAUAAGAGGCAGGAGUCAUGGUUUUCAAAGUAGAAAUAUUAUACUUCAGUAUUUGCGUUUGGUCUAGAGGCAAGGAACAUCAGGUCUAAGAUGAAAGAUGGCUUUAGAAGGAAAUUUAUGAAGUCAUUAGGUAAAGCUAACUGCAAGGAUUUUCCCAUUGUUUAAUGUAACUUCCUGUUAGAAUGUUCAUAUCGUGAUUUAAACAUGAGGGAGAGUUAAAAGCAGGUUUUACUAUUGUCAACUGUUAUAGUGGGGAUUUCUCAUUGGUGAAUUAAAAACUUUUCACUGGAAACUUUGAAAGUACUGUUAUUCUUCAUAGAGAAAGACACCUACAGAGGAAAUUUACCAUUGCGGUCGCUCUCUAAAGGAAAUAACUUCCAUGCACAUAGGAAACUUAGAACAAUUGACUGCUAUGCCACUCUGUAAUCUCUAACUUCGUCGAAUCUCUUCUUUACUUAAUUCUAGGAUUCUGCUCUAAGAUAACAGUUAACAUUGGAAAUUUUUUAAUCUGUUGAUCAGUUAAGAUUUUAGUCAUUUUUAUGCUGUAGUUGCCCCUUAAACCAUAAAAGCAUGACAGCAAGCUAUGAUAAGUGGUAGUUCUCUCAACUUUCCAGGUUGAAUGUCAUGACUGUGGCAGGUACAAGUACCUCCUUAUAACUUUCCAUCCUUGCGUGCGUCUUUAUGUUAGAUGUUAAUUCUUUCAUCACCACAUGAAUACUAGUAGGAGAGAGCAUAAGUAUAUAUUAUAUUUUAAUUAUUUUACAUAUAUUAUAAAUAUAUAAUAUAUUAUUUAAAAAUUAAUUUGGUUAACUGACUGAAUUGACCGAUGUUAAGUUGGUUUGGUUAUAGUAGGAGGAUGGUAAAUUAAGUAAAAAGCCAUCCAAACCGACUGACUUAACCAUAUGUGCACCCCUAAAUACUAGUGCAUGAUUUGACCAUAGUUCUUGUUUUCGGGAGGUAUCUUACUGCUAUAACUGGUCUCUAUUCGUUGUCUGGUCUGAACUUUGUACCAUUCUCACCCUCAUCAAUUUUUAUAUUUUGAAAUAUAUCCUCUUUAUCACUGUUAGAAUUAGCAUGUCCUAGGCUCGUAGAUUUUGUAGACCUAUCUCAUUGUGUUUUUUUAACUAGUCUCAAAUAAUAUUUUUUUGAUUGAUAGGUAGAUAAAUAAAAAGAGGGAGGGAGGGAGUUAAUUGAAGUGUUGCCUAGCCUUCCAGUGGCGAUAUGAAGUGUUUGGUUAUCCAAACUAAUCUCCAUUUAAUGUCCAUUGUCAUGCCUGAAGAUGAUAAUUUCUUAGCAUUUUUAUUUUGCUUAUAUUCACCAUGGGCCCAUUUUGGUUUCUUCGAUGUUGUAUCUUAAUUGGUAAUGUUUCCAUCAUAGAAAGGCAAGAUCCUAGCAUGGUUAGCCUAUGCAUGCACUUAUCUCAUUCCUAUUCCAACAAUCCGAAGAGUAAUUAAUGGAAUGUAUCCAAACCAAUUAUCUUCAGGUUUUGCUGCGGCCAAAUUUUUGUCAUCAGUUGCACAAAAUCUAGACCUGAAACUGAUGCUUAACUAUAAAAUUUUACGAGCAUUUUGUCCUAUUAACUUAUGCCUGCUGCCAAUCUGAACUGAUGCUCAGCUAUAUAAAUUUACAAGCAUUUUGUAACAGUAGCCUAUGCCUGCUGCCAACCUGAGACCCAUGCUUAGCUAUAAAAAAUUUUCAUGCAUCAUGUUUCCAGGUAUGCUUGUAAUGUUUGGUCCCCGAAAAAAUUAUUUAACCUUGCAAUCUUACAUUUUCUUUUUCCGGAGAAGUUAAAUGCCUGCUAAUUAGCUAAUAAUAAAAUUAUGUAUCAAGCAUGCUCUGUAGAUACAAGACAUUUAGGAUUAAGUACUUAAACAAUACCUUGACUUCUGAGGUUGGGCUCCCCAGUUGCUGAUGUUCCUCCUUUGCUUUGUUGUAUCGCUCAAUUAUAGAUCUCAUGCUAGCAAUAGAAGAUUUGAAUUGUAUCAGGGAUUCUGUAAUUUCUAAAUGCUUACACUAGAGAAGAAACACAGAGAGGACAUUCAAAAUCAUUGUACGUAGCUCCAGAAAGUAUAAUGAUAGCGUCUGUCAAUUUCACUAGUAUCUAAAAUUGUUGUAUCUGACAGUUGUGAUUAUAUUAUUCAAUGACAGCUUCCUUCUAGAAAGAUAAACCAGCUAUUGAACAGAACAGUUGAAGUUACAAUCCUAUACGUAAGUUUUCUUUUUGGUUAAAUAUGAUAGUCUUGAUUUGUUCAAGUGCUGUUUCCUCUUCAUGCUUGCUUUGUUUGCCUCAUUCAACUAUAACAUUAAACCCUAUGCUACUUCGAUUCUUUUUUUUUUUUUAAAUAUUCAUGCCUAAUCUGUACCAAACAAACUUUUAGCCAGAUGAAUAUAUCCAUAUCUUGAAUCGCCACUAAAUCUGGUUACAUUCAUGGUAAAAUAUAUUGUAUUCUGUUAUCCCUACCUUGUAACCCUUGCGAUUCCCUCCCUACUUUGUUUUCGAGUCUGAUUAUUAGGAGGUAAACUAUCUGGCUGAAAUUAUCAGUCAUUUUGAGAAAGGAAUUCCAUCUUUUUCGUUAACUCUGCAUGGUUCUUUACCACAACCAUGAACGUAAAGAUGGAGCUUGUUUGAUAUCAUAACCUCAAGGUAUGGAUGUUUCUUUGCUAUGCAAUCAAGGUAUUUUAUCUUAAUCUGCUGUUGGAACAGAAGCUAUUUCUUUCAUAAUUUAAAAUGUCACUGUUUUUAACCCAAACUUGUUUUGUUUGAUGGAAAUCAUCUAUUAUCAUACGUUAGAAUCACUUAAUAUUGAUCUUUUCAUAUAGCUAUACCAUAGAUGUGCUCCAGGCAAACUUUUAUUGGUUUUUAGGAGGAUCACCUCCUGUACUCUGUUUGAAUAUAUUAGGUGUUGAUGUUAGACAUAAAUGCUUUAAGGAAAAUGAAUAAUUUGGAUAAUGUAAGAUAUGCUUAUGCUUAAUUCAUGUCCUAAUGGCAAAACCUUCAUCUAAAAAUUGCUCAAGGUAUGACAUGUUAGUAUGAAUUCAAGGGGAAGAAAAGGGUAAAAGAUUAUAAAUAGAUUUUCAUGGGUUGAGAUGACUUCAAGUUGAGCCUUAGGAAAAGUAAUAUUCAUGCAUGAUUUGUUUGACCCAAAAUAUUAGAUAGAAUAUUCUGCUUACAUUUGGUGUGAUAUGUAAAAAAGGCACCAUCCUUGUUUGAAAAAGCCCAAAUUUGUACACAAAAGUCGAUCUCAAGGGUGGUUUUUAUUAAACUACCUUUUAUGCUAUCAUUAGUACCCUCAAUUUUAGGGCAUGAUCGAAUCAACUUUGAUGUGUUUGAGCAUCAUGAGCAACAUUAAGUUUUUGUGUCAAAAGAAGCUACUUAAUUUGUUAUUCAAACUACUUAGAAGCUAUCAAUUUAAAAGCGAAUCACUUCUCACUUGAUAGGUUGCUGCUAAGUUAAAGCCAUAUUACUGGUUAGCACAUUCAUCAUCAUUGUUAGUUUUCUUGUUUAGAUCCCAUCUUAAGGAUUAUAAUUUGGACAAGGAUUAGAAUAAGGAUGAGAUGAAUUUCUUAUGGGAUUUGGAUGAGAAGUGGCUUAGAAGCUACCUAUAAACGCAUAAAACCUUUGGAUAAAAGGAAUCCAAGUGAGAGUGUUUGUUUUUAAACAACUCUGUUUCUCUUCACUUCUUUUUGUUCUCAACUCAACGAGUGGUAGCAAAGCUUUAUCUAGGGACCUGAGUUAGGCGAUUGGUUUGUGGAUUUGGGAGCAUCUGAUCAUAUGAUAGGGGAUAAAACCUUAUUUGAAUCUUUAAACUCAUGUUAUGAGAAUUAGACAAUAAGGAAAGCAGAUUGACCUCCAUGAAAAAUAGUUAUAGCAAGUUUCGUUAAAAUUUCAACUAACUUUUCGUUUAAUUCUUUUCCAAAUAUAGAUUGUAAUCUUUUGUUGCUAUUUUUUUUUUAAAGUUUGUGAAUUUUAGGACUUGAACUUGAGGUCAAAUAGCAAUUUUGAAUAGUUGUUGGGUUUAUGUUCUCAAAAUUCUUGACAAUAAAAGAAUAAGGCCAUCCAAAACCCAAUUGUCUAAUGGUUCAAGCCCAAAAUUACGUUGACCUUGUUUCUUAGAUGGCAUUAUUGUUUAGGACAUCGAAAUUUAUCUAUCUUACAUGCACAAAACAUAUGCCUUGAUCAUUCAUGUAAGCAAAUCAUCUGAUCUUUGGUAAUAAUCCAUAGAAAUGUGUGGAGACCAUCUAGGGUAAGACCUAUCACAAACUUUAUUUUGUUUGUUUCCAUUAUAGAUAAUCACACUAGGCUUAUAUAGGUUUUUUGAAUAAAAAAAAAUCUAGAGAAACUCCAACACCAUGAUCCUAUCACAGUUUAAUUUAAGAAACAAAUCCUAAGAACUGAUAAUGCUAGAGAGUAUUUCAGAUCCAACUUAGGGUUUUACCUAACAAGUCAAUGCAUGGUUCACUAAAGUUCAUGUGUAAUCACGCCCCAACAAAUUGACAUUGUUGAAAGAAAAAAAGUAAGCAUGUAUUUGAUAAACAGAAUGCCCUCUAGGAUUUAAUGUACUCGAAUCUUUUCUAAAUAUAAUCCCUUGCGUUAAUUGUUCCUUUGAAGACAUCUAGGUGUAUUGCUUGUAUCCAUACCUAUAAACCACAAACUCUAUUGAGGUAAACUAAAUCUUAAAGUCAUUAAUGCUGUGUUUGGUUACUAGUGUAAUAACAUGAGUAAAUAACUUAUUUAACACAUGUUUUAAAUAGUUAAGCCAUAAAAAAAUGAUUACUACAAAUUUAAACAUACAAUUAGAAAAAUGAGUAAAAAAUUAUUGUAAAGACUUUUUCAAAAUAAGCGAAAAGUUUUCAAUUUAUUUGCUACAAACAAGUCAUGAGUGGUUAAAUAUUACCAAUUGUGGUUAGUUUAUGACUAACCAAUGACUAAAACAUGUAGAAAAAUAAAACUCCUACUAAACGUAACAUAAAUAUAUUUUUAUAAGGUAUUCUCUAAACCAAGGGUGUAAGUGCUAUUUGGCCACUACACACAAAUAAUAUAACAUCACGGAUAUCACAUUCUUUGAGCAAAUACCAUAUAACCUUAAAUUGACUAGUUUUAGUGAAUAUGGAGCAACUAAAUUAUUAUUGAGAGUGAACCAAUACUCGUAUGCUAACUUUGGGAUAACCAAAUGAAUCAUAAUUAAUUAGUAAACAACUCUUAUUUAGAGGGUUGUUACAUAGAAUCCAAACUUGGCAAAACUUAGCAACAAGAUCUAUACAUUUAGCAUCUUACAAAGGUUUUAGGAAAAGGAAGAUAACCUCAAACCUUUGCACCAAAAACAUUAGAACCAAAUAAAGACCUUAUUGUAUAAAUUGUAUCAACACUAAUUUAUCAAAGUCAAGUUAAAUCCAAGUUAAAAUUAUAAUAUACACACACUUAAAAAUUAUAAUUCUCAUAUUGAGUUGGCCGUCAAUGCAUUAUCUUCUGCUACUUGAAAGGGAUAAGAACAUGCUCUCAACACUUAAUCCCCACCUUUGAUUCAUAUGAGGGAUUGUCCUUAAGAUUUGAGCAUUGGUGAUUAUCUUGAUAAGAUUAGAAUCCAAAACAAUGUCUAUGAGGCCUUAAAGAACUAGAAUGGAGGAAAGUUGUGCAUGAAAAAUUUAAGCCUUAGAAAAAAAUGAAACCAGGGAGAUUAUAAAUUUGCCACUAGAGAAGAGUUUAGUAUGAUGUAAAUAGGUGUAUAUUAUAAAAUAUAAAUGUGAAAGUGUGGAUUGAUUCAAAGUUAGAUUCAUUAUAAAAGGAUUCACUUAGUUUUAUGGAAGUGACUAUCAAGAGAAAUUUGCUCUUUUUUCAAAAUACAAUACAAUUAAAUUUCUCUUUUUGUUGGCGGUAGGCCUUGAUUGGUCCUUAAAUUAACUUGAUGUUAAGAAUGCAUUUUUUCGUUGUCUAGUGCAAAAAAUGCACAUGAAGGUUCCACCAGACGUUAAAACAUAGACUCAAAAAAAAGAAAAAAUUAUGCACUUGGAUUUGUUAAAAGAAACAAGAAUGCUUGAAUUUACAUUGAGAAGUACUCAAAUGAAAACAAGUAAAAGUUAGGGUGUAAUGAAAGUACUCUAGUUAACAAUUGUAGAUACUAGAGGCUUGUUGGAAAUGUUGGAAAAUUGAUAUUUUUAACUCACUAGAGGUGAUAUUGCUUUCUUAAUUAAUGGUGUAAGCCAAUUUAUGAAUGAUUUGCAAGAACACAUGAAGCUCUGUAAAUGGGGUAGCUCUUUUUAUAUGUGCUUUGGAAAGCUAAAUGUUUUCUUUUAAUGGCAUUUUUUUUGUUAGCCAUAAUUCCUCACUUGUUAAGGAGUUUUAAUGACUAAAGAUAUUAACAAUGUCACGCUAGCUUGUAGAAAGAUUAUCGCCAACUUGAGAAUUCAAGCUAGGAUUAUUCUCAUUCGACAAACCCUCUCUUGAUGCACAAACAGGGAUCAACUCAUGAAAAAGGAAAUCAACAUUUAAGCAAACAUCUGUUGCUCGGUAGGACUUUUUUUAGCUAGCCAUAAUUCCUCACUUGUAAAGGAAGUUUUAAUGGCUAAAGAUAUUAACAAUGUCAUGCUAGCUUAUAGAAAUAUUAUCGCCAAACUUAACAAUGUCAAGCUAAGAUUAUUCUCAUUCAAUGAACCCUUUUUUUGAUGCACAAACAGGGAUCGACUCAUGCAAAAAGAAGUCAACAAUUAAGCAACAUUUGUUGCUUGGUAGACAUCUUUUUUAGCUAGCCAUAAGUCCUCACUUGUCAAGGAGUUGUAAUGGCUAAAGAUAUUAACAAUGUCACGUUAACUUGCAGAAAGAUUAUCGCCAAUUUGAGAAUUCAAGCUAGGAUUUUUUUUAUUCGACGAACCCUUCUUUUGAUGCACAAAUAGAGAUUGACUCGUGCAAAAGGAAGUCAACAAUUAAGCAACAUUUGUUGCUUGGUAGACAUUUUUAGCUAGCCAUAAUUCCUCACUUGGUGUUUUUAUUUGUUUGAUAACUUGUAUCAAAGGAAUGUUUGAACAACUUUAAUUAGAAUACGUGUAAGCAAUUUUAUCUUAAUUAUCAAAUCUACACAUGAUGGAAUGGAAAUAUGACACCUUGAAAUUUUGCCCUUUUUAUUUUCAUCAUCAAGCAUAGGCUUUAUUAAUUACAUUGAUAUUUACUUUUUAGUUUUAUCAGUUCAAACAUUUACUUACCAUGCCAAAUAAAAGAAACUUACACAAAUAGAUCAAUUUUAACGUAAAUAAUGGGCAUUUCGAAAAAGGAUCAAUUUU